rnacentral:rRNA from 1 species
AGCGAACGUUAGCGGCGGGCUUAACACAUGCAAGUCGAACGAGAAUGAGGGGGCAACUCCUCUAGUAAAGUGGCGGACGGGUGAGUAACACGUGGGUAAUCAACCUUCCGGCGGGGGACAACAAUCCGAAAGGAUUGCUAAUACCGCGUACGUCGGCGGAAGCUCAGGUUUCUGCCGGGAAAGAUGGCCUCUCCUUGGAAGCUGUCACCGGAAGACGAACUCGCGUCCCAUCAGCUAGUUGGUGAGGUAACGGCUCACCAAGGCGAAGACGGGUAGGUGGUCUGGGAGGAUGAUCAGCCACACUGGAACUGUGACACGGUCCAGACUCCUACGGGAGGCAGCAGUGGGGAAUAUUGGACAAUGGGCGCAAGCCUGAUCCAGCCACGCCGCGUGAGUGAUGAAGGCCUUCGGGUCGUAAAGCUCUGUGGGGAGGGACGAACAAGCCUGCAUUGAAACAAUGCGGGCCCUGACGGUACCUCCUUAGCAAGCACCGGCUAACCCUGUGCCAGCAGCCGCAGUAACAC